CAGGAGUCUGGCAAAUGUGAUCCUAACAGUUCUCUGCUUUUUCCAAGCACACAGGGCCGGAGCGCUGGCAGGUUCUCAGGCAGGCUGUUCUCCGUAAGUCACCUUAUCAGAAGCACACCCACGAGGAGAGCAGGGAUUCUAUAAGCAGGGCCAUAAGAAAGAAAGAGUGAGCCAACAGAAGCUGCCUAUGGACACCGGAAGCGGACACCGGAAGCGGACACCGGAAGCGGACACCGGAAGCGGACACCGGAAGCCGCCACUUACCCCCAGCCAGAGAUGAUGAUGAUUCCCACCGGGAGCUGAACGCUCUCGCGCUUCUUUAAAAGAAACAAAGAAACUGCUAGAAGGCCUAGAAACAAGAAACCAAGAUUAUAAACGAUGAUUACUCUUACUCUUGGUAUGGAAGCUGCAGCACUUUACUCUGUGAGAG
rnacentral:lncRNA from 1 species